rnacentral:rRNA from 1 species
GAUGAACGCUAGCUACAGGCUUAACACAUGCAAGUCGAGGGGAAACGACAUCGAAAGCUUGCUUUUGAUGGGCGUCGACCGGCGCACGGGUGAGUAACGCGUAUCCAACCUGCCCAUCACUUGGGAAUAACCUUGCGAAAGUAAGACUAAUACCCAAUGACAUCCCACGAAGACAUCUGAAUGGGAUUAAAGAUUUAUCGGUGAUGGAUGGGGAUGCGUCUGAUUAGCUUGUUGGCGGGGUAACGGCCCACCAAGGCAACGAUCAGUAGGGGUUCUGAGAGGAAGGUCCCCUACAUUGGAACUGAGACACGGUCCAAAAUACUAGGGGCGGCAGCAGUGAGGAAUAGUGGUCAAUGAGCGAGAGCCUGAACCAGCCAAGUAGCGUGCAGGAUGACGGCCCUAGGGGUUGUAAACUGCUUUUAUAAGGGAAUAAAGUGGGUCUCGUGAGACUUUUUGCAUGUACCUUAUGAAUAAGGACCGGCUAAUUCCGUG